UACGAAGGGGGCUAGCGUUGCUCGGAAUCACUGGGCGUAAAGGGUGCGUAGGCGGGUUUUUAAGUCAGGGGUGAAAUCCUGGAGCUCAACUCCAGAACUGCCUUUGAUACUGAGAGGCUCGAGUCCGGGAGAGGUGAGUGGAACUGCGAGUGUAGAGGUGAAAUUCGUAGAUAUUCGCAAGAACACCAGUGGCGAAGGCGGCUCACUGGCCCGGUACUGACGCUGAGGUGCGAAAGCGUGGGGAGCAAACAGG
rnacentral:rRNA from 1 species